CAUUCCAAAUAAGUGUUUCACAUAGCGAAGAGCAUUUAUUUUGCUAAUGCCAUUGAUUAGUGUAUUCAAGUGGUGACGAGGCUUGUUUUCAAAUCAUAUGCGUGUAUUUUGUGUUGUGCAAGAUGUCUAUUGGAAAAAUAUCUGAAUUUAAAGUGGAAAGCGAUAGCUGGAAACUCUAUAACCAAAAACUACGUGUAAGCAGCAUAAUAUUGAAUGUUUGGAUCUCUUGAUGCCUUGACGAAGAAAAUUGCACCGCUAUAUAAAAUUGUAAUACUCGAACUAAAAACAAGCGGUCUUUGAUAAAACCAACGUCUGCACUUUGCAGGUACAGAGGAGCGUAAUACCUUACUACGUUUAAAUAAUAUGAGGAUGUAAAGGCGGCCUUAUCACUUGGUGAUCUCCUCCAGACAACCUAAGUUAAGGAUAGAUUGCAUAGAAGGAGGAU